UACAGAGGGUGCAAGCGUUAAUCGGAAUUACUGGGCGUAAAGCGUGCGUAGACGGUUAUGUAAGUCAGAUGUGAAAGCCCCGGGCUCAACCUGGGAAUUGCAUUUGAGACUGCAUAGCUAGGGUGCGGAAGAGGGAAGCGGAAUUCCGGUGUAGCGGUGAAAUGCGUAGAUAUCGGAAGGAACACCAGUGGCGAAAGCGGCUUCCUGGUCCAGCACCGACGUUCAGGCACGAAAGCGUGGGGAGCAAACAGG
rnacentral:rRNA from 1 species